CAGUCGCCGCGGGAAUACGUAGGUCCCGAGCGUUGUCCGGAUUUAUUGGGCGUAAAGCGAGCGCAGGCGGUUAGAUAAGUCUGAAGUUAAAGGCUGUGGCUUAACCAUAGUACGCUUUGGAAACUGUUUAACUUGAGUGCAAGAGGGGAGAGUGGAAUUCCAUGUGUAGCGGUGAAAUGCGUAGAUAUAUGAAGGAACACCGGUGGCGAAAGCGGCUCUCUGGCUUGUAACUGACGCUGAGGCUCGAAAGCGUGGGGAGCAAACAGGAUUAGAUACCCGAGUAGUCCCUGUCUCUUAUACC
rnacentral:rRNA from 1 species